rnacentral:rRNA from 1 species
AUACGGAGGGGGCUAGCGUUGUUCGGAAUUACUGGGCGUAAAGCGCGCGUAGGCGGCUUAUCGAGUUAGGCGUGAAAGGCCUGGGCUCAACCCGGGAACUGCGCUUAAUACUGGUAGACUUGAGUCCGGGAGAGGGUGGCGGAAUUCCCAGUGUAGAGGUGAAAUUCGUAGAUAUUGGGAAGAACACCAGUGGCGAAGGCGGCCACCUGGCCCGGUACUGACGCUGAGGUGCGAAAGCGUGGGGAGCAAACAGGAUUAGAAACCCCGGUAGUCC